AUGGCGUCCUCACUCCCUGCCGACGUCGUCCGCCGCCUUGGCGACAUCUUCCUUGACACCGACGACGUAGACUACUACAUGACCAUGCGUGGUGUCUGCCAUGGCUGGCGCGUCAGCACGGACGACCCCAAGACAAGCCCGGCCGACCCUCGCUUCCGCCUCGGGCGCUGGGUCAUGCUGGACGAGCGGCGGCCCAAGAGCGACGAAGAUGAACGUGCCUCCAGACGCCUCUUCCUCAACACCACCACCGGACGUCGCGUCUACAAGCGGCUCCCGCGGCUCCAGGACUACUACUUCGUCACGAGCACCGGUGGUCUCAUCGUCCUAGCAAGCAGGACCGCUCCACAUGUGGUAUGCGUCAUGAAUCUUUUCACCGACUCGUCCAUCAGUUUCGCUGCGCCCAUCCCCAACUCUGUGCGCAACACCACGGCCUAUCUCCGUGAGGUUGAUCAUUUCCCUACCCUAGUCUUGGACGAUGGCCCGUUGCCCGACACAGCCUACACGGCCAAGCUUGACUCUGAGCAAUUUGCGGUGGAAGAGUACAACCUGGUGGACAAGGUGCGCACCAUAUGGGGCAUUGACGCUACCGAUCGGGAGAUGAUCGGUGGUCUCAUGAGGAGUAUCACCGCCGUCCUUCCCUACAAGAUGUAUUUCCUAUACACUUGCUACCACAUCCUCGAAUCUGCCGGAGACAUGUUGAUUGUCAUCCAUCGUCAACACCCUCGCCAUGGUGUGGAUGUUUUCAAGGUGAACGUUGAAGAAAAAGUGGUCGAGCCUGUGAGAAGCAUUGGCAGUCGUGCGCUCUUCCUUGGCCAGAGGUGCGUGUCUGUUGAGACCAACAAGUUCCCUACCAUUGAAGGCAACCGCGUCUUCUACUUUGGUGGAGCAGAGCAAUACGACAACGGCGUUGGCGUCUACAUGUUCGACCUUACCAAUGAAACAGAGAAGUGGAUCACCUCGGAUGUUCAUGAUUUCUCCUUGGGCUUUGGUGAACACACCAAACCCACCAUGAUCCAGACACUCAUGAAGUACUGCAUCGACACCCCGUGGGUCCCAACUGGCGUAUGA
rnacentral:rRNA from 1 species